rnacentral:rRNA from 1 species
UGAGGAAUAUUGGUCAAUGGGCGCGAGCCUGAACCAGCCAAGUCGCGUGAGGGAUGACGGCCCUACGGUUGUAAACUCUUUUGUCGGGGAGCAAAUUCCGUUACGUGUAACGGAGUCGAGAGUACCCGAAGAAAAAGCAUCGGCUAACUCCGUGCC